rnacentral:rRNA from 1 species
CAAUAGCGUAUAUUAAAGUUGUUGCAGUUAGAACGCUCGUAGUCGGAUUUCGGGGCGGGCCGACCGGUCUGCCGAUGGGUACGCACUGGUCGGCGCGUCCUUCCUUCCGGAGACCGUGCCUACUCUUAACUGAGCGGGGGCGGGAGACGGAUCGUUUACUUUGAAAAAAUCAGAGUGUUUCAAGCAGGCAGCUCGCUCUUGCAUGGAUUAGCAUGGGAUAAUGAAAUAGGACUUUGGUGCUAUUUUGUUGGUUUCGAACACCGAAGUAAUGAUUAACAGGGACAGUCAGGGGCACUCGUAUUCCGCCGAGAGAGGUGAAAUUCCCAGACCAGCGGAAGACGAACUACUGCGAAAGCAUUUGCCAGGGAUGUUUUCACUG